GACGAACGCUGGCGGCGUGCCUAACACAUGCAAGUCAACUUGACUGAAGGAGCAAUCUGACAGUAGAGUGGCGCAAGGGUGCGUAACGCGUAAGUAACUUGCCCCAAGGUAAGGAAUAACGUCGAGAAAUCGGCGCUAAUACCUCAUAAUGCAGCGGAUCCGCAUGGAUAUGUUGUUAAAGGUUUACCGCCUUGGGAUAGGCUUGCGUCUGAUUAGCUAGUUGGUGUGGUAACGGCACACCAAGGCUACGAUCAGUAACUGGUCUGAGAGGAUGAUCAGUCACACUGGAACUGAGACACGGUCCAGACUCCUACGGGAGGCAGCAGUGAGGAAUAUUGGGCAAUGCUCGAAGAGUGACCCAGCAACGCCCGCGUGGAGGAUGAAGGUAUUCUAUAUCGUAAACUCC
rnacentral:rRNA from 1 species